rnacentral:rRNA from 1 species
GAUGAACGCUGGCGGCAGGCUUUACACAUGCAAGUCGAGCGGUGAUUCUAUUGUAGCAAUACAGUAAAUGAUCAGCGGCGAACGGGUGAGUAACGCGUAGGAACUUUCUCUAAGUUUGGCAUAGCUAGUCGAAAGAUUAGGUAAUUCCAAAUGUGAUCGUAAGAUUAAAGGUGCAAAUCGCUUAGAGUGAGGCCUGCGUCCCAUCAGCUAGUUGGUAAGGUAAUGGCUUACCAAGGCGUAGACGGGUAGCUGGUCUGAGAGGACGAUCAGCCACACUGGAACUGAGACACGGUCCAGACACCUACGGGUGGCAGCAGUGGGGAAUUUUUCGGGCAAUGGGGGCAACCCUGACCGAGCCAUGCCGCGUGAAGGAUGAAGGGCCUUCGGGUUGUAAACUUCUGUGGUAGUUAACUAAAUAAAUGAAAGUGACUACUAGAAAGAUGUUGCUAAACUCUAGUGCCAGCCGCCGCGGGUAAAC